AACGAACGCUGGCGGCAGGCCUAACACAUGCAAGUCGAACGCCCCGCAAGGGGAGUGGCGCACGGGUGAGUAACGCGUGGGAAUAUACCCAGCAGUACGGAAUAACCCCGGGAAACCGGGGCUAAUACCGUAUACGUCCUCAGGGAGAAAGAUUUAUCGCUGUUGGAUUAGCCCGCCGUCGGAUUAGCUAGUUGGUGAGGUAAUGGCUCACCAAGGCGACGAUCCGUAGCUGGUCUGAGAGGAUGACCAGCCACACUGGGACUGAGACACGGCCCAGACUCCUACGGGAGGCAGCAGUGGGGAAGUAUUGGACAAUGGGCGGCAAGCCUGAUCCAGCCAUGCCGCGUGAGUGAUGAAGGCCUUAGGGUUGUAAAGCUCUUUCGUCGGGGACGAUAAUGACGGUACCCGAAGAAGAAGCCCCGGCUAACUCCGUGCCAGCCGCCGCGGUAAC
rnacentral:rRNA from 1 species